AAGAGCACUGAAGGUUUGUAAAGGGGCAAGUAAGUCCUGCCACUUCUGUUCUGUGCCACUUCAGAGAUCUGAAUGUCGUGGAAUCGGUCCAGUUCCAGUGUUUUCAACUUUAUAUCCAUGGAAAGCUUUUCGGUGUUGUUGGGUCGAGAAAGGAAAGUUUAAAUUUUGCAACAUGGAUACCAUGACUUCUGAAACCGGAGCACCUGCCUGUUGGGCUGCUGCAUCAAUGGCAACAAGCAAAAGAGCUCAAGUAGCUAGUAAACUCCUUGGAGAGGCGCAUGUAUCCCAUGGUGUCACAACACUGCACUGGCUGUUGGUGGUGAGGCUCAGAUGCAGACGUUUGUCCAGCGGUUAAGAGACAGGCUGGUUGAUAACAAGCACUGAAGAAUGCAAAUUCCUCUUCUUCACCAGAACAGGAACAGGGCACUUUGGGACUAGGGUCCCAUGAACCACUGGGACUUCUAAACGUCGUGUGUGUGAGUGUUGCAGGAUGACAGCCAACAUGGAAGCAACUGUGACCACCGGAAACCUGAGAUCCUGCUCCUGCCUUUGUUUCAAGGUAAUCUGCAUCAUCAGAGAUCCUCGCAGGAGGUGAGAGGCUCCAUACCAGCUAUGAACCAACUGCCCAGAGGAGUUUUUCAUCUAUUGACCCCUUUGUGAAAUCCUAUGAAAUAUGAACUUUCAUUUCUACCCAGGAGAACUUUUACAAUCUUUUCUCCAAUGCUUGAUGAAGGGUGUUUGUGCCUGAAAGUUUGCGAUUAAAGCAAUUUUUUUUUUGCAAAAAUCUUGCUGGUCUAAUAAAAGAUAUCAUCUCUG